rnacentral:lncRNA from 1 species
CAAACAUUCACGUACAAUAUACAGGAGUAGCGGCUGUGUAAAGGCUUAUCUGGGGGUUACGGUGCAUGAACAUUUACACCUCACAUGAGCUGGAGAGAUGGAGCCUGGAGUCCGGAAAAGACAAAGAGGAGAUUGACAAGAAGGACUACUAUGGGAAGACACCUCUCUACUGGGCAGCCUACAAGGAUCAGAAGGCCUCCAUGCAGCUGCUCUUGAACAUGGUACAGUUGUGAACACACAGUGCAAACAUGGGAGCACACCUGUGCAUGCUACGGUGGGUCUCUUCCCCAAGCGCACUCUGCUUCUCAUACAGGUGAGACAGGUGUGAUCAGGAUGGCACACGAGGACAAAGUGUUUCAUUAGGAAAAACUUUGUGACGUCCACACAGAUUAUCAUAACGUUAUUUUCUGAGCUGUACCUCAUUGUGUUGGUCACCUUGGAGUCGUCGGCUAAACAAAGGUUAAUAGUAAUCGUCAUGUAGGAUAUAAUCCAUGUUUUUCCCACGUCUACCUGCAGCAUGGAGCAGGUGUGGACCUCCCGGACAGCUGGGGAGUCACACCUAUGUACCUGGCAGCGUGCAGUGGGCAGGUUGAGUGCAUACAGUUGCUAGUUCAAGCUGAAGCCAAGAUCUUCUACAAGAAGAAGAAGACUGGCGAGGCCCCAAAGCAGCUGUCUUUCAGGCCCACGCUUUUGACCUGGCUGGAGAACCUGGUGCGACAGCCACAUUCUCUCAAGCACCAGUGUCGGCAGGCAGUUCGCCGUGCCCUUGGCCCUGCUCGAAUUCAAACCCUUGGCUCCUUUGCCCUCCCACUGACCCUUAGGGAAUACCUUAUGUUCCAGGACUUGCAGAUCCCUAACAUAGUGGGGCAAGGUGAGGCAGGAGAGCACAGGGUAGCACACAGGGGGAGUUAAAUAAAAACUAUUUUCAACGGAACA